GGACCAUAGCUCAGUGGCAGAGCAUCUGCCUUGCAAACAGAAGGUCCCAGGUUCAAUCCCAAUCAUCUCCA